rnacentral:rRNA from 1 species
AUUGAACGCUGGCGGCAUGCCUUACACAUGCAAGUCGAACGGUAACAGGUCUUCGGAUGCUGACGAGUGGCGAACGGGUGAGUAAUACAUCGGAACGUGCCUAGUAGUGGGGGAUAACUACUCGAAAGAGUGGCUAAUACCGCAUGAGAUCUACGGAUGAAAGCAGGGGAUCGCAGGACCUUGUGCUACUAGAGCGGCCGAUGGCAGAUUAGGUAGUUGGUGGGAUAAAAGCUUACCAAGCCGACGAUCUGUAGCUGGUCUGAGAGGACGAUCAGCCACACUGGGACGGAGACACGGCCCAGACUCCUACGGGAGGCAGCAGUGGGGAAUUUUGGACAAUGGGCGCAAGCCUGAUCCAGCAAUGCCGCGUGCAGGAUGAAGGCCUUCGGGUUGUAAACUGCUUUUGUACGGAACGAAAAGCCCUGGGUUAAUACCCUGGGGUCAUGACGGUACCGUAAGAAUAAGCACCGGCUAACUACGUGCCAGCCGCCGCAGUAA